CCUACGGGUGGCAGCAGUAGGGAAUAUUGCUCAAUGGGGGAAACCCUGAAGCAGCAACGCCGCGUGUAGGAUGACGGUUUUCGGAUUGUAAACUCCUUUUGUUAGAGAAGAUAAUUACGGUAUCUAACGAAUAAGCACCCGCUAACCACGUUCCAGCAGCCGCCGGAAUACGGUGGGUGCAAGCGUUUCUCCGAAUCACUGGGCGUAAAGGGAGCGUAGGCGGGUUAGUAAGUCAGAUGUGAAAUCCUUUGGCUUAACCAGAGGAGUGCAUUGGAAACUGGGAGUCUAGAGUAUAGGAGAGGAAGGUGGAAUUCUAGGUGUAGGGGUAAAAUGCGUAGAGAUAAAGAGGAACACUAAUUGCGAAGGCGACUCGCUGGAACGUAACUGACGCUGAGGCGCGAAAGCGUGGGGAGCAAACAGGAUUAGAUACCCUAGUAGUC
rnacentral:rRNA from 1 species